GAGCUACAGAGAUUCUUGGGAUUUGUUAACUUCUAUAGGAGGUUUAUCCGUAAUUACAGUUCCAUUGCAGCCCCUCUAACCUCAUUGCUUAAGGGCAAACCAAAGAAAUUAUCUUGAACUCAGUCUGCCCAGACAGCCUUUGAGACUCUGAAAACCCAGUUUUACUACAGCCCCAAUUUUGAAACAUCCGGAACCUGACUUGCCAUUCAUUGUAGAAGUAGAGGCUUCUGACUUCGGCAUUGGAGCAGUUCUGUUGCAGAGACAUGGAAACCCUGGAAAAGUUUUUCCCUGUGCUUUUUUUUUCCAGAAAGCUAACAACCGCAGAAAAGAACUAUGAUGUGGGUAAUAAGGAACUGUUAUCAAUUAAAGCAGCACUGGCAGAGUGGAGACACUGGUUGGAGGGAGCUUGCCAUCCUUUCCAGGUUAUUACUGACCACAAGAAUUUGGAGUACAUCAAGUGUGCUAAAUGUCUUAACCCUAGACAAGCCCGUUGGUCAUUAUUUUUCACUAGGUUUCAGUUCAUAGUCACUUACCGUCCAGGAAGCAAGAGUGGCAAGGCUGACGCUCUUUCACAAAGAUUUGAUUCGAAUGAAACUUCUUGCUGCCAAGGGCCUAUUCUACCACCUCCGGUGAUUGUGGUACCCAUUCGCUGGGAUAUAAUGGAAGAACUGCAACUUGAAAGGCAAACAGAACCCACGCCACCAGAUUGUCCCCCUGACCAUCAUUAUGUCCCUGGGUCUCUCCGCCAACGAAUUAUACAAUGGGUGCAUACAUCGUUGAGCUCCGGGCAUCCGGGCAUUCAACGGACAGUAGAAAUGGUGCGUAACUCCUUUUGGUGGCCUAAUCUAUUUAAUGAUGUUUCUAUGUAUGUCAAGUCUUGCAGUGUGUGUGCUCAGUCCAAGACACCACGAGAACUACCAGCUGGUCUUCUUGAACCCCUACCAAUUCCUCAGCGCCCCUGGUCACACCUGGCCGUGGACUUCGUUACAGAUCUGCCCAGCUCCAAUGGAUACACCACAUUCCUGGUAAUUAUUGAUCGUUUCUCUAAGUCAGGGGUUCUCAACCUUUUGCAAGCUGGGCCCCCCCAAAGCUGGUUCAUUGCAGUUGGGACAAAACGUUUGAGUCAAAGAUUCAAUGACCCAUUCACAAACAUCUGUCUCAUUCUC
ensembl:lncRNA